rnacentral:rRNA from 1 species
ACUCAAAGGAAUUGACGGGGGCCCGCACAAGCGGUGGAGCGUGUGGUUUAAUUCGACGCUAAGCGAAGAACCUUACCAGGGCUUGACAUCCUGAUCAUAUCCCGUGGAAACACGGGAGUCAGUUCGGCUGGAUCAGUGACAGGUGCUGCAUGGUCGUCGUCAGCUCGUGUCGUGAGAUGUUGGGUUAAGUCCCGCAACGAGCGCAACCCUUGUCGUGUGUUGUAUUUUUCACGCGAGACUGCCUAGGUUAACUAGGAGGAAGGUGGGGAUGACGUCAGAUCAGCAUGGCCCUUAUGCCCUGGGCCACACACGCGCUACAAUGGCCGGUACAAUGGGUCGCGAAACCGCAAGGUGGAGCUAAUCCCAUCAAAGCCGGUCCCAGUUCGGAUUGGAGGCUGCAACUCGCCUCCAUGAAGUCGGAAUCGCUAGUAAUCGCAGAUCAGCCAUGCUGCGGUGAAUACGUUCUCGGGCCUUGUACACACCGCCCGU